ACUGAACGCUAGCGGCAGGCCUAACACAUGCAAGUCGAGCGGAUGAAGGGAGCUUGCUCCUGGAUUCAGCGGCGGACGGGUGAGUAAUGCCUAGGAAUCUGCCUGGUAGUGGGGGAUAACGUCCGGAAACGAGCGCUAAUACCGCAUACGUCCUGAGGGAGAAAGUGGGGGAUCUUCGGACCUCACGCUAUCAGAUGAGCCUAGGUCGGAUUAGCUAGUUGGUGGGGUAAAGGCCUACCAAGGCGACGAUCCGUAACUGGUCUGAGAGGAUGAUCAGUCACACUGGAACUGAGACACGGUCCAGACUCCUACGGGAGGCAGCAGUGGGGAAUAUUGGACAAUGGGCGAAAGCCUGAUCCAGCCAUGCCGCGUGUGUGAAGAAGGUCUUCGGAUUGUAAAGCACUUUAAGUUGGGAGGAAGGGCAGUAAGUUAAUACCUUGCUGUUUUGACGUUACCAACAGAAUAAGCACCGGCUAACUUCGUG
rnacentral:rRNA from 1 species